UGAGGAAUUAUGCGCAAUGGGGGAAACCCUGACGCUGCGACGCCGCGUGGGUGAUGAAGGUCUUCGGAUCGUAAAACCCUGUCGAGAGGGACGAAUAGCUUGGGUGUCAAUACCAUCCAAGCCUGACUGUACCUCUGGAGGAAGCCCCGGCUAACUCCGUGCCAGCAGCCGCGGUAAUACGUAGGGGGCGAGCGUUAUUCGGAAUUACUGGGCGUAAAGCGCGUGUAGGCGGUCCUGCAAGUCUGAUGUGAAAGCCCCGGGCUUAACCCGGGAAGUGCAUUGGAAACUGUGGGACUUGAGUACUGGAGAGGAUGGGGGAAUUCCCGGUGUAGAGGUGAAAUUCGUAGAGAUCGGGAGGAAUAUCAGUGGCGAAGGCGCCCAUCUGGACGGUAACUGACGCUGAGACGCGAAAGCGUGGGGAGCAAACA
rnacentral:rRNA from 1 species